rnacentral:tRNA from 1 species
CAGAUUAUAGCUUAUAUUAAAGUUUAUUAUUUACAUUAAUAAGAAAAUUAUUAAUUUUAUCUGA